rnacentral:rRNA from 1 species
GACGAACGCUGGCGGCGUGCUUAACACAUGCAAGUCGAACGGAAAGGCCCUGCUUUUGUGGGGUGCUCGAGUGGCGAACGGGUGAGUAACACGUGAGUAACCUGCCCUUGACUUUGGGAUAACUUCAGGAAACUGGGGCUAAUACCGGAUAGGAGCUCCUGCUGCAUGGUGGGGGUUGGAAAGUUUCGGCGGUUGGGGAUGGACUCGCGGCUUAUCAGCUUGUUGGUGGGGUAGUGGCUUACCAAGGCUUUGACGGGUAGCCGGCCUGAGAGGGUGACCGGCACCAUUGGGACUGAGAUACGGCCCAGAUUCCGACGGGAGGCAGCAGUGGGGAAUAUUGAACAAUGGGCGGAAGCCUGAUGCAGCAACGCCGCGUGCGGGAUGACGGCCUUCGGGUGGUAAACCGCUUUCGCCUGUGACGAAGCGUGAGUGACGGUAAGGGGUAAAGAAGCACCGGCUAACUACGU